UUGAACGCUGGCGGCAUGCCUUACACAUGCAAGUCGAACGGUAACGGGCCUUCGGGUGCCGACGAGUGGCGAACGGGUGAGUAAUACAUCGGAACGUGCCCGAUCGUGGGGGAUAACGAGGCGAAAGCUUUGCUAAUACCGCAUACGAUCUACGGAUGAAAGCAGGGGACCGCAAGGCCUUGCGCGGACGGAGCGGCCGAUGGCAGAUUAGGUAGUUGGUGGGAUAAAAGCUUACCAAGCCGACGAUCUGUAGCUGGUCUGAGAGGAUGAUCAGCCACACUGGGACUGAGACACGGCCCAGAUUCCUACGGGAGGCAGCAGUGGGGAAUUUUGGACAAUGGGCGCAAGCCUGAUCCAGCCAUGCCGCGUGCAGGAUGAAGGCCUUCGGGUUGUAAACUGCUUUUGUACGGAACGAAAAGCCUUCUUUUAAUACAGGAGGGUCAUGACGGUACCGUAAGAAUAAGCACCGGCUAACUACGUG
rnacentral:rRNA from 1 species